CCCUUAGAUGUUCUGGGCUGCACGCGCGCUACACUGAUGAGCUCAACAAGUGUGCAACUUUGCUUGAAAAGGCAGGGUAAUCUUUUGAAAACGUAUCAUGAUGGGGAUCGAUUAUUGCAAUUAUUAGUCUUCAACAAGGAAUUCCUAGUAAGUGUGAGUCAUCAACUUAUGCUGAUUACGUCCCUGCCCUUUGUACACACCGCCCGUCGCUCCUACUGAUUGAGUGAUCCGGUGAAUAUUUUGGACUGCAGCAUAGCUUAGUUCCUGAGUGUUGCAGCAUAAAGUUUAGUGAACCUUAUCACUUAGAGGAAGGAGAAGUCGUANCA
rnacentral:rRNA from 1 species